UGUCUGUGUUUCUGUCCCCAGGCCCCAUGCUGCCAGGUGCAGAAGGUACACACAUGGGAAUCAGGGCUCAUCACAGCCACAGAGAGGGAGUGCGCAACUGCCCGGGCCCCAUGGGCGCGACUGGCCCUGCUCCAUGGGGGGCUGUGUUUAUUUUUUCAAGAACAAGGGGUUGGGAAGAUCACGUCCCAAGGGAGCCAGAGCCACCCAGCUGACAGACAGUCGCCACCACCUGACCCCAAGACAGGAGCACCUGCCAACAGCUGGGGCGGCCUGACACCAUGCUUCCUGACCCACCAGAUGUCUGUCGCCCGGCACCUAGCCACCAUCACCUCAUCUUUACUGAGGCCUGACUGGAGUUACCACUGGUUCCAGAAAGUUCUCCAGCGUGGCUUCUCCUCAAGCGGCCAGCAGAUCCCGAGAUCCCCCACCAACCAGGGCUGAGACUGCAUCCCGAGGACCUAGAACAUGUUCCUGGCUUGAGGAUGGAAAGGUGGAAACCCCGAACGGAGCCACACCCAGCACCACUGAGAACAGCCCCUGAAGCUGCCUGACCCUGCGUGGCUCUGCGAAAUGUGCUGCUUCCUACAAGCUCCGGUUCUCAGUGGUAGCUGCUGGCAGGAGUCAGGGCAUGGAAACCAAACCCUCCCAUUAGGUGCCAGGCACCAGCCUGGUCCUGUCCUGAGGGGAACACACAAGCCACAGACUGGAGAAAAAAAAGAAAACAGCAUGAAAAGGGCUGGCAGAUCCAGUCCCAUGGGAAGAGGAGUCAAAGGUCAUGUUAAAGAAGGCUGACUGCAGAGAGAGUGAGCGUCUCAGAAUGGGGGGUGCUCCCUCCUAAUCCCCCAUCCCUGGGCAGAGGAGCAAACCCAGAGUCCUCCUGACCUUAGCACACCCUGCUCCCUCCAGCCCAUCCUCUUCCUCAGCCACCCUAAGCACAGAGGGCAGGGCAGUGUCCAGCCCCCUGCCUCCCCUGCAGAGGGGUAAGGAGACAUCCUUCCUGAAACCACCCCAGCACGCCACAAGGACACAGGAGCCGACCCCGUGUGAACAGAACACCCCCACACACAGAUGUCGGCAGUUAGGAUCUUCCUCCUGACGUGAGGCUGAAUGUUCUCUGGCUUCGAGAUAAGCCUCUCUCUGCCUGAGCACUCCUGAUGAUCAGCACCACCAGGACCCUGCAGAUGCCCAGGGUGCUUGCUGUGCUAAGCCCAUCCCACAGGUAUUUCCUCUAAUCCUUCCAAUGUCCCUGGGAAGCAGGGGAGGCUGCUACCACUUAAUAGAUGUGGCAAAGAACAUUCUGGGGGGCUACCCAACCUGACGGAGGUUGUAUAAGCAUAAGCAAUUAGGGGAGCUAGGUCUCUUGCCCCCCUGUCCUCACGGCUCCAGGACAGGGGUUCCUAAGCCCUCUGCUUUCCUCUGUCCUCCGGGUGACAGCAGGGACAGGAGCAGCAGCAGCAUGGUCUAAGACAUGGGUCUGUGGACUGGAGGCCGGACUGCAUCCAUCUGGAGCCGCCACAGUACAGGCACCCCAGCACAGUCUUGCCCAUGGCUCCAAAAAGAGCUAAAUAAACAUGGAGUCCAUAGAUGAAGACAGUGGUAUUAAAAAAAAAACAGGAGAUAGAAGAUGGAUUAUUAAUAAAUGUUGCUGCAAUCAUUCAGUAUCCAUCUGGAAAAAAUUAUAGUAGAUGCACACCCUCCUGUCUC